rnacentral:sRNA from 1 species
GGGUGCCCUCUUCUUCUCUUUCAGCUCCAUGUGCCACCCUCCUGAAGCUGCACACUCAAUGGAAGAGGACAACCAUCCAAGAUGUAAGGAGUGUAAUCUUCUUUGGUCAAGGAUAUGGGGAUUGAUGGCACAGGAAUAGAGAUGGGACGGCCUGGGGGAAAACUGGAAAAAUUGAGGGGGGAAACAGGGUUUGUCCCCAUUU